CCUGUCUAUGUGCAAGGAAUUUAAGCAGAAGAGCACGUCUAUAGAGGAGGAAUUAUAAUAUGUGAUCAUGACCAGAGCCUGGAGGAAGGAUGCUUUAACCUGAGCAGAGGAACAGCAGCUAACGUGGAGCUGGACCUGCAGCCACCAGUCCGUCAAGCUUUGCGGAUGACACCACCCUCAUUGGACUGAUCUCUGGUGGGGAUGAGUCCGCCUACAGGUGGAAGUCUGACCAUCUGGUUUGACUUGAGCCAAAAAGAUCGUGGCCGACCCCUCUCACCCCGGACAAAAACUGUCUGUGCCCCUUCCAUCUGACAGGAGGCUGAGGUCCAUCAGGACUAAGACCUCCCGCCACACCAACAGUUUCUUCCCGUUGGCAGUCGGGCUCAUCAACAGAGCCCGGUCCCCCACUGACUGACUCUGACAUUCCACCGGUCACUCCCGUCACACUAUACAUGCACAUACACACACACUU
ensembl:lncRNA